AUAUAGAAUCAUAAGCAAUCUUUGUCACCACCUGCCAUAUUACUAAACUCAAAUGGAAAUAAUAAUA
rnacentral:sRNA from 1 species